rnacentral:lncRNA from 1 species
AAUGUGGGCUGUGACCCCAGAGGUGUGUCCUUCCAGCCGUCUUCUCCCUUCCAGCUGGCCAGGCAUGGGGUUCUGAAGCAUCAGGAACUGAACUUAGCUCCUAACUGGGCUGCUAUCACAGCGGUACUCUUUGUUCUGGGCUUCCUAAUUGUGGUGUUGACAACCCUGGCUAUUGUGCUCCAGCCCCCCAUCCCCACCCUUAGCCCCCUGAAGAGCUGGAAGCCACGAUGGAGGAGCCUGGGUGAGCCACACAUCCCACCAGAGUACAUCUUCCUUAAAGACAGCCUUCAGUUCUAUCAGGUGCUUGGUCCACAUGGUUCUGGAGAAGAGGCUGACUUUGGAGAGAAAGGAGCUGCACAGAAUACAGAAGAGCAUUUUACACUGCGAGAUCUGGAGGAUUUCAGUAUUCGCACCGUGUAUGAUAAGCUAGAAGACCAGAGUUUGCACCUCGCAU